UACCAGCUCCCCGAGUGGUGGGGACGAUUAUUGGGCUUAAAGCGUCCGUAGCCGGCUUGGCAAGUCUUUCGUUAAGUCCAGUGGCUUAACCGUUGGACUGCGGGAGAUACUGUCAGGCUAGGGGGCGGAAGAGGCCGACGGUAUUCUCGGGGUAGGGGUGAAAUCCUAUAAUCCCGGGAAGACCACCAGUGGCGAAGGCGGUCGGCUAGUACGCGCUCGACGGUGAGGGACGAAAGCUGGGGGAGCGAACCGGAUUAGAUACCCGGGUAGUCCCAGCUGUAAACGAUGCGGGCUAGGCGUUGGGGCGGCUACGUGCCGCUUCGGUGCCGCAGGGAAGCCAUUAAGCCCGCCGCCUGGGAAGUACGGCCGCAAGGCUGAAACUUAAGGAAUUGGCGGGGGAGCACUACAAGGCGUGAAGCUUGCGGUUU
rnacentral:rRNA from 1 species